AAGGGUCCAAGGGGCAAGAAAGACAAGGGAAAUAGUGGGAGUAGUGAUGUGAUAAGAUUGAGUAUUGGAGAUUUUUUUCAAUACUCAAGGCAAAGGGUUAAGGUACUUCACUUGCUAUAGUAACUGAGACAUAUCAGCUCAUUUUCUACUCAGUUGUGAGUAGUGGAUAACGAGAGAAACUGAUAAUGAUUGUUACACCUUG
rnacentral:lncRNA from 1 species